AUUGAACGCUGGCGGCAGGCCUAACACAUGCAAGUCGAACGAGUGGCGGACGGGUGAGUAAUGUCUGGGAAACUGCCCGAUGGAGGGGGAUAACUACUGGAAACGGUAGCUAAUACCGCAUACCAUCGGAUGUGCCCAGAUGGGAUUAGCUAGUAGGUGGGGUAACGGCUCACCUAGGCGCCGAUCCCUAGCUGGUCUGAGAGGAUGACCAGCCAAACGUGAACUGAGACACGUGCCAGACUCCUACGGGAGGCAGCAGUGGGGAAUAUGGCACAAUGGGCGCAAGCCUGAUGCAGCCAUGCCGCGUGUAUGAAGAAGGCCUUCGGGUUGUAAAGUACUUUCAGCGAGGAGGCGUUACUCGCAGAAGAAGCACCUGCUAACUCCGUGCCAGAAGCCGCGGUAAUAC
rnacentral:rRNA from 1 species